AUUGAACGCUGGCGGCAGGCCUAACACAUGCAAGUCGAGCGGAUGAAGGGAGCUUGCUCCUGGAUUCAGCGGCGGACGGGUGAGUAAUGCCUAGGAAUCUGCCUGGUAGUGGGGGAUAACGUCCGGAAACGGGCGCUAAUACCGCAUACGUCCUGAGGGAGAAAGUGGGGGAUCUUCGGACCUCACGCUAUCAGAUGAGCCUAGGUCGGAUUAGCUAGUUGGUGGGGUAAAGGCCUACCAAGGCGACGAUCCGUAACUGGUCUGAGAGGAUGAUCAGUCAGACUGGGACAGGAACACGAUGCGAAGGCGUGCGGGGGGGAGCAGUGGAGAGUCGUGGACGGGGGGGGAAAGACUGCUACGGGCAGGGUGCGUGUGAGAAGAAGGUUUGCGGAUUAUAAAGGAAUAUAAGGUGGGAGGAGGAGAAGUAAGUUAAUACCAUGAGUUUUUGACGUAACAAACAACACAAGCACCGGAUAACUACGAGCCCGACGCAGGGUUAAUACUAGGAAGAGCACACGUCUGACC
rnacentral:rRNA from 1 species